rnacentral:rRNA from 1 species
AGAGUUUGAUCAUGGCUCAGGACGAACGCUGGCGGCGUGCUUAACACAUGCAAGUCGAACGGAAAGGCCCCUUCGGGGGUACUCGAGUGGCGAACGGGUGAGUAACACGUGGGUGAUCUGCCCUGCACUUUGGGAUAAGCCUGGGAAACUGGGUCUAAUACCGAAUAGGACCGCAUGCUUCAUGGUGUGUGGUGGAAAGCUUUUGCGGUGUGGGAUGGGCCCGCGGCCUAUCAGCUUGUUGGUGGGGUAAUGGCCUACCAAGGCGACGACGGGUAGCCGGCCAGAGAGGGUGUCCGGCCACACUGGGACUGAGAUACGGCCCAGACUCCUACGGGAGGCAGCAGUGGGGAAUAUUGCACAAUGGGCGCAAGCCUGAUGCAGCGACGCCGCGUGGGGGAUGACGGCCUUCGGGUUGUAAACCUCUUUCAGUAUCGGCGAAGCUCCAGGAUUUUUCUUGGGGUGACGGUAGGUACAGAAGAAGCACCGGCCAACUACGUGCCAGCAGCCGCGGUAAUACGUAGGGUGCGAGCGUUGUCCGGAAUUACUGGGCGUAAAGAGCUCGUAGGUGGUUUGUCACGUUGUCUGUGAAAACUCACAGCUUAACUGUGGGCGUGCGGGCGAUACGGGCAGACUGGAGUACUGUAGGGGAGACUGGAAUUCCUGGUGUAGCGGUGGAAUGCGCAGAUAUCAGGUGGAACACCGGUGGCGAAGGCGGGUCUCCGGGCAGUAACUGACGCUGAGGAGCGAAAGCGUGGGGAGCGAACAGGAUUAGAUACCCUGGUAGUCCAA